UGUAGUUUUAAGGCGGGGGGGGAGGGGCGGGGGGAGCUUACUCUUUCAAAAAGUAAUUAUACAUGAAUGUCCCUUGCGCAUUGUUACCAUAUUUUAGUUUGUGCCGCAGUGCCAAGUUUGAACAGUUUAAUUCCUCCAUUCCUUACUUUUGUUAUGUGUAGUCAGUAUUUGCAGAAGCGUGAUUAUUAACAGGGUACCCAGAUUUAACAGAUAAAAAUAUAGGAUGCCCAAUUAAUCUGAAUUUCAAACAAUUGUUUUUAAGUACAAACAUUAAAAAACUAUUCGUUUACCCGAAAUUCGAAUUUAACUGGACGUUCUGUAUUGCAUUGGACAAAUUCUGCUUCAUUGUUCUUUCAAAUGAUUUAACUUCCUACAAAAAUCUCUGUAUGUGAGGCAAAAAGUAACUUGCCUGGGCCAACAGCACAUGAGGCUCACGGCAGGCGGCCUUCUCCCAAACUUGGCCUUUAAAAAAACAACAAAAAAAAACCCACCCAGAAGUCCCAGGAGCGUGCGCAUUAAAGCGAGCCGUGAGCCGCUUUCCCGCCGGUUUUCUGCGAAAUGCAGCACAGUGGCCACCCGCGGGGUGGAGCGCAAAUGGCCGUGUCCUUGCGGGAUAGGAAAGGAGGUGCCGGAAACUUUGAACCCCUGCCAGAGUACAACGUGUCCACUUAGACGGCGGUGCUGCGGGUACAGCUGUGAACAGAAGUGACGAAGUCCCUCAGAGCAUCUACACUAGUAGAGAGACAGACCCACACACCGCAAUGUCAGAAGCCGACAGGUGCUCUGAAGAAAAGUCACAGUAAGAAGAGUGACAAGACAGUCCUUGUAGAGGACCUCCCUGGGAAGGCACUGUGUGAACAAAGAUCUGAACGAGCGAGGUGAUAUCCCAGAGUCCCUUCCUGUGCUCCUCCUUCCUUCCCUCAGGGACCUGCCAACCCUCUGGGCCCGGGUAGAUUGGGGGCUGCAGUGCCACGUGCAGCUGCCAAAGCACUCCUGAGGCAAAGCAACCAACAAGCAGCAUUGCUUUCUCUUCCCUGGUCCGCGCAGUCGCCAUCCUCCACAUCCCAUGAGCACGGCAUUUGUACCUGCCAGGUCCACAUGUCUGUCUCUUGCACAAGACUGGUUAUUCUCAGAUUUUAAUGUGCUGAAGAAUCGCUUGGGGUGCUAACUGAACAAAUUUAGAUUCAAGGGGCCACUCUGUAAACGUUCCGAAUGUGUCGAGCUGCGCCCAGGCACCAGCUUAUGUAGGCAAGGGCCAGGUCAUUCCAACGCAAGUGGUGGGGGAGCCUAGCCUCGAAGACACGGUCAUCGGCAAUAAGCUCCUCAAGGGGCAAGGUCUGAACUGGCCUGUUUCUGUCCCCAGAACGCAGAGCAUUUGGUGAGCAGUCAAUAAAUAACCAAGAGAAGCAUCUGCCUCAUCGGACACUGACCCUUGUUCUGCUUACAGCGAACACCCCUUCAGGUGGUCACCUUCUCUUCCUUCCCAAGAUUCAACUUCUGGAGGCCAGAGACCCCACUUUGCAUUUCUUCUGUGGGCCUAGCAGUAUUUUUUCAGAGUAAAUAACAAGAGACCUUCAGGACAUACUUACUGAGACAAAGAAUAAAUGAGAGGAAGGGAGGAAGAAAAAUAAUACCACGUAUGAGAUCUAGUCAGAGGACGCUCUAAUAUGGUGACCGGGCCGAUUUAGUUUUUUACCUUGGACACUUCCAAGCAGCCACCCAAAUCCAACAUGCUGAUAUUGGACACAAGUAGCAGACUCUUUCCUUUUCUUCCCCUGUCCUCACUGGAGCUGCUAACAAACAAAAAACUCAGUGUAAGGGAGUGGGCAGGAAAGAGUCUGGGGGCACAGAAGAGCCUUGGCUAAUGUGCCCCUGAAGGAGCCAAGUGCUGACUGCUCUCGCAGGACCCUCGGCUUCAGAGCACUUAGAGACGUCCUUAACGUCAUCGCCGGGCAUCUAUUUACACAGGAGCUUGUGACAAGCGAGUCUUUAAUCGAGUACUUCUACUCAGGGCUCGGCUGCAGGCUGCUGCUUCAGUGUUUGUGUAAUGUGUGCUCACCUCUUUGCUCUAUUACUGAUGACAUUUCAAUGACAUGUUGGGAGGGCUCACACUAGUGUAAGCUGACGCCAGCUUCUUGAAGCUACUUUAAAAAAGAAUCCAUCAGUGGGAAUGCAAGCUGGUGCAGCCACUCUGGAAAACAGUAUGGAGGUUCCUCAAAAAACUAAAAAUAGAACUACCCUACGACCCAGCAAUUGCACUACUAGGCAUUUAUCCAAGGGAUACAGGUGUGCUGUUUUGAAGGGACACAUGCACCCCCAUGUUUAUAGCAGCACUAUCAACAACAGCCAAAGUAUGGAAAGAGCCCAAAUAUCCAUCGCUG